CGCGUAGGCGGCUGAGCAAGUCAGUAGUGGAAGUCCAUUUUUCAAGGAUGGAAGUGCUAUUGAAACUGCGCAGCUUGAGUGCAGGAGAGGUUAUCGGAAUUCCCGGCGUAGCGGUGAAAUGCGUAGAUAUCGGGAGGAACACCAGUGGCGAAGGCGGGUAACUGGACUGCAACUGACGCUGAGGCGCGAAAGUGUGGGGAGCAAACA
rnacentral:rRNA from 1 species